UACAGAGGGUGCGAGCGUUGUCCGGAAUUACUGGGCGUAAAGGGCGCGUAGGCGGCUCAAUAAGUAGGGGGUGAAAUUCCGUGGCUCAACCACGGAACUGCCUUCUAGACUGUCAGGCUUGAGCACGGUAGAGGCAGAUGGAAUUCCCGGUGUAGCGGUGGAAUGCGUAGAGAUCGGGAAGAACACCAGUGGCGAAGGCGGUCUGCUGGGCCGUUGCUGACGCUGAUGCGCGACAGCGUGGGGAGCAAACAGG
rnacentral:rRNA from 1 species